rnacentral:misc_RNA from 1 species
GAAGAAUGUCAUCUUGAAGCUCCUUGAAACCGGUGAAGUAGAAGCUCUGCUACCUGUGGUUGCCAUGCUCCUCCAGUUUAGUCCAGAAGAGAUGCAAAAAUGUCAACAAGCAUAUCGUAGCACCACCAAUGUUCCUCCAAGCCCUGCUGGCGAUUCAGGAUCCGCUCGCUCUCUUUUCUCAAGAUUUUCCUUUACGUGACAGAUGAAAGGAAGCCUCUAGAAAAUUUCUCAGCAUAAAAUUAAAAACGUCUGCCCCUGUGCUUGAACAAAUGUUCUUUUUCACUACCGUGGGCAGAGAAGUAGAGUCGCCACCACAACUGUAAGAAAUUCG